rnacentral:tRNA from 1 species
GGUGAUAUAGCCAAGCGGUCAAGGCAAAGGUCUGCAAAACCUUUAUCCUCGGUUCGAAUCCGAGUAUCACCU